GACGAACGCUGGCGGCGUGCUUAACACAUGCAAGUCGAACGGAAAGGCCCUGCUUUUGUGGGGUGCUCGAGUGGCGAACGGGUGAGUAACACGUGAGUAACCUGCCCUUGUCUUUGGGAUAACUUCAGGAAACUGGGGCUAAUACCGGAUAGGAGCUCCUGCUGCAUGGUGGGGGUUGGAAAGUUUCGGCGGUUGGGGAUGGACUCGCGGCUUAUCAGCUUGUUGGUGGGGUAGUGGCUUACCAAGGCUUUGACGGGUAGCCGGCCUGAGAGGGUGACCGGCCACAAUGGGACUGAGAGACGGACCAGACUCGUACGGGAGGCAGCAGUGGAGAAUAUUGCAGAAUGGGCGGAAGCCAGAGGCAGCAACGCCGAGUGCGGGAUAACGGCCUUCGGGUUGUAAACAGAUGUGGCCUGUGACGAGGAGUGAGUGACGGUAAUGGGUAAAGAAGCACCGGCUAACUACGUG
rnacentral:rRNA from 1 species